rnacentral:rRNA from 1 species
UACGAAGGGUGCAAGCGUUACUCGGAAUUACUGGGCGUAAAGCGUGCGUAGGCGGUUCGUUAAGUCUGUCGUGAAAGCCCCGGGCUCAACCUGGGAAUGGCGAUGGAUACUGGCGGGCUAGAGUGCGGUAGAGGAGAGUGGAAUUCCCGGUGUAGCAGUGAAAUGCGUAGAGAUCGGGAGGAACAUCAGUUGCGAAGGCGGCUCUCUGGACCAGCACUGACACUGAGGCACGAAAGCGUGGGGAGCAAACCGG